UACGUAGGGUGCAAGCGUUAAUCGGAAUUACUGGGCGUAAAGCGUGCGCAGGCGGCAGGAAAAGUCGGAUGUGAAAUUCCGGGGCUCAACCCCGGAGCUGCAUUUGAAACUAUCCAGCUAGAGGUUAGUAAGGGAAAACGGAAUUCCACGUGUAGCGGUGAAAUGCGCAGAUAUGUGGAAGAACACCGGUGGUGAAGACGGUUUUCUGUGCUAAACCUGACGCUGAGGCGCGAAAGCUAGGGGAGCAAACAGG
rnacentral:rRNA from 1 species